AUUGAACGCUGGCGGCAGGCCUAACACAUGCGAGUCGAGCGGAUGAAGGGAACUUGCUCCUGGAUUCAGCGGCGGACGGGUGAGUAAUGCCUAGGAAUCUGCCUGGUAGUGGGGGAUAACGUCCGGAAACGGGCGCUAAUACCGCAUACGUCCUGAGGGAGAAAGUGGGGGAUCUUCGGACCUCACGCUAUCAGAUGAGCCUAGGUCGGAUUAGCUAGUUGGUGGGGUAAAGGCCUACCAAGGCGACGAUCCGUAACUGGUCUGAGAGGAUGGUCAGUCACACUGGAACUGAGACACGGUCCAGACUCCUACGGGAGGCAGCAGUGGGGAAUAUUGGACAAUGGGCGAAAGCCUGAUCCAGCCAUGCCGCGUGUGUGAAGAAGGUCUUCGGAUUGUAAAGCACUUUAAGUUGGGAGGAAGGGCAGUAAGUUAAUACCUUGCUGUUUUGACGUUACCAACAGAAUAAGCACCGGCUAACUUCGUG
rnacentral:rRNA from 1 species